UCGGACAUGGUGUAUGGAAUACUGCUGGCCCCUCUUCCGAGUUCCAGGUGCAUAGACUAGUGACCGGCAGACCGGGGUUCGACUCCCCGUGUCCGAA